rnacentral:rRNA from 1 species
GAUGAACGCUGGCGGCGUGCCUAAUACAUGCAAGUCGAGUGAACAGACGAGGAGCUUGCUCCUCUGACGUUAGCGGCGGACGGGUGAGUAACACGUGGAUAACCUACCUAUAAGACUGGGAUAACUUCGGGAAACCGGAGCUAAUACCGGAUAAUAUAUUGAACCGCAUGGUUCAAUAGUAAAAGACGGUUUUGCUGUCACUUAUAGAUGGAUCCGCGCCGCAUUAGCUAGUUGGUAAGGUAACGGCUUACCAAGGCAACGAUGCGUAGCCGACCUGAGAGGGUGAUCGGCCACACUGGAACUGAGACACGGUCCAGACUCCUACGGGAGGCAGCAGUAGGGAAUCUUCCGCAAUGGGCGAAAGCCUGACGGAGCAACGCCGCGUGAGUGAUGAAGGUCUUCGGAUCGUAAAACUCUGUUAUUAGGGAAGAACAAAUGUGUAAGUAACUAUGCACGUCUUGACGGUACCUAAUCAGAAAGCCACGGCUAACUACGUG